ensembl:snRNA U6 U6 spliceosomal RNA
GUGCUUGUUUCAGUAGCACAUUUAUUAAAAUUGGAAUGAUACAGAGAUUAGGAUGGCCCAUGCUCAAGGAUGACACCCAAAUUCGUGAAGUGUUCCAUAUUUAA